rnacentral:rRNA from 1 species
CGGAGGGUGCAAGCGUUAUCCGGAUUUAUUGGGUUUAAAGGGUCCGUAGGCGGAUCCGUAAGUCAGUGGUGAAAUCUCACAGCUUAACUGUGAAACUGCCAUUGAUACUGCGGGUCUUGAGUAAGGUAGAAGUGGCUGGAAUAAGUAGUGUAGCGGUGAAAUGCAUAGAUAUUACUUAGAACACCAAUUGCGAAGGCAGGUCACUAUGUCUUAACUGACGCUGAUGGACGAAAGCGUGGGGAGCGAACAGGACUAGAUACCCUGGUAGUCCACGCCGUAAACGAUGCUAACUCGUUUUUGGGCUUUCGGGUUCAGAGACUAAGCGAAAGUGAUAAGUUAGCCACCUGGGGAGUACGUUCGCAAGAAUG